GAGCACUGUUCGUAACCUGUUAGCCUGGCUGUAGCUGACAGGUUCCAUUCCAGUGCAACAGCAUGUCCAGGGACACAUGACUGACUGACUGGUGGCUUUCAGUUUCAGGUCUUGGAGACAAAU